rnacentral:lncRNA from 1 species
AUGCACCAGGCACAUCAAUGGGUCAGCGUGAAACCGGGCCUCAGGCCCCGGUCCCCUAGCGGCCCUUUUCAGUGCUUCUCCUUCAUGGGCUUCCCUGGUCCCGAGAGUCACCUGGACUCCCUCUUUCCCACCCGUGCUGACCCUCUGGAUGGAGUGACUCAGCUUUUGGAUGGCGCACGAGGCUGGGCACUUGGCCCCACGAGACUCCGCUUCCUGUCUCUGCUCCCUGACGACUCUGGGUCUGCCAAGCGGCUGAGGUCACCCUCUGCUUGUCGCCACCUACGGCCAAGGAGAGCAGGAGCCACCAGAGCCCGAGGCUGGAAGGCUGAGCGCCAUCCAUUUCUGCCUUCCCUCCUCCGGCCCCCGUCAGUUCUGCCUCGGGACCUCCCAGGGUAUGUCUUUCCUUCCGACGCCGCCCUCCCGUCCUGCUGGUCAGGGCCGUGGUCCCUAAUGAGCCACUGCGCCAGCCUCCGCUGUCUCUCCUCAAGUCUCUGGCCCACCUGCCCUCACCCCGACGCAGGCCUUUCUCGCCACGACAGCCGGAGCCGUUGUCCCCAGAUGCAAACCUGGUCCUGGUGCUCUCCUGCUGAGCCCACAGGCCCCCGGUGCUGCAGGACCAAGGUGAAGUUCUUUGCCAGAACAGGCCCCUCACUCGGCCCCCAGCCCCUCCCCCUCAUCAUUCCCACGCGCAGAGGGCUCCUCUCCCCACCGCCUUCCACCCCCUCUGCCCUGGCCCACGCUGCUCCUCUGCCCAGGGGAGGCAUAUGGUCUGGCCUGCCCAGCACAGUCUCUGUCUACACUGGUUCUGUGCUAUUCGUAACAGCCUGCCUUUCAUUCUCCAAAGUGUCCUGCUUUGGGCAACAAGUGAUGGGGCCACACUGCGUUUGCCCUCGUUCUUCACCUGGCCAACCUCUGCCCAUCCUCCAUGACCUGCUGGAGGUCGGGGGCCGGGGGCUGGGGGGAGCCUUGCCCGUCUCCUGCAGGGGACACCCCUCCGCCUUCCCGGGCAAGCGCAUGACAGUGUCCAGCACGGUGCACUGUUAG